AUGGUUCAACUUUGUGCCACUAUGCAAGGGGAGCCAAGCUUGACAGAAGUGCCGGUGCCUGCAGAGAUUGAGGCACUGAUCAGCGAGUUUGAGCACCUGUUCGCAGAGCCGAAGGGGCUACCACCGCGGCGUUCGUUCGAUCAUUCCAUUCCUCUGCUUCCGGGAGCAAAGCCGGUCAAUGUGCGCCCAUAUCGCUACAGUCCAGCUCAAAAGGACGAGAUUGAGAAGCAGGUAGCGGACAUGCUUGCUCAGGGGAUUAUUGCACCCAGCUCUAGUCCGUUUGCGUCGCCAGUACUGCUAGUCCAGAAGAAGGAUUUGUCCUGGCGUUUCUGUGUAGACUAUCGCCAGCUCAAUGCCAUAACAGUCAAGAACCGUUUUCCAUUGCCGAUCAUCGACGAGCUUCUGGAUGAACUCGCGGGGUCUAGGUGGUUUACUAGCUUAGAUCUCCGAGCCGGAUACCAUCAAAUACGUAUGAAACCCGAGGACAAGUACAAGACUGCUUUCAAGACCCACCAUGGGCAUUUUGAGUUCAAGGUGCUAGCGUAUGGCCUAACAGGUGGACCUGCUACCUUCCAGGGGGGAAUG
rnacentral:rRNA from 1 species